GUUCAUAAAGAAAUUUGAAACUUACUUCUACCCGCCCCUUUUCACCUUGCAACCACUAUUUAUAUUCUAGUAGAAAACCAAAAUUGCAUAAGCUUCUCCAUUCCCUUAAUCCCAUCUCUUCUCAUUAGAGUUAUCUUGUUUCUUAUACCUUUAUCUACCAUCUUUUUUAUUACUGGCAAAGACAACAGAUUCCCCAUGUAGAACCUUGUUACGCUCUCUCCAAACUGCAUAGAGUACCGACUGGAAAGCAUACCUUAUGCAAAAUCUGCUCAACUUCUCCCUUUUCUCAUCCGCAAUAAUCAACAAGAUCUCAUCCCACAUCUUAGUGUAGGAAGUUCCCAGGAUCCCUUUAGCAAUAUACUCCCAUAUCUGAGAAGAAUACCCACAUUCAAAGAACAAAUGGGUAGUGGACAGUCACAAUUAGUAAUCAUCAUCAUUCUUCUUCACUUGUAUCAUGUUUUUUGGAAUGAUGCUCUCUUAGGCCUUUGAUAAAUUGACUUGGUCAACAAAUUCUAGCCUUCUCUUAUCAUCUUAAUAUUGUGAAUGAUGCAGGAGGUUCUAAUCUCUCGUCACUGUCUCUUUUGUCUUUAAGAAAGUUGUCUAGUUUUAGUAAUUGUCCGUUCGUAAGAAUCUUUAUGUUCUUUUAGCAAUUACUCCAUGCGACACUAGUUUGAAUAAACUGCACACCAGCGGUUCGACCAAAUGUCUGAAUGGGCUUUUAAAAUGUUCUUUUGUUUAUUUUUAAGUCUCUGUCUUUUUUUUUUUGCUUGCAACAAAUAAUACGUUUUUGUGGGUUUACAGUUUUCAUUGUUUAAGUGCGCUAUUAUUUCUGAGGCAUAAUGAAAGUUGGGACAUUUGGGAUAAUUUUGCUUCUAUCUCCUUAAUUUAUCUCUCAUAAAGACACUAGUGGGAUGUUUUGAUUUAAAGGUAAUCUUCUGAAGGAUUCUUUGUUUUAUUUGUUGCGUAUUAUAAACAGACAGUGAAUCUCUUAGUUUGAAAGAGUGAAACAUAUAGUUUUUGUUGAGGGGUGGAACUAGUUUUAUACAUUAUGGUUAGUCAAAAGUGUAUGAUUCAAAACAGAGGUUUUGGGGAGUUGGUGAACGGUAUUGUUGGCUGAGACAAAACGUGUAGUAGGGUGGUCAGGGACACUGCGUUUUGCAGAGUUUGGCGUUUUGAAGAGGGAAACUGGUUCUCUGGAAAGACGCCAAAGAGUAAAGAUUUAGGGUAAAGCCUGAUGGAUGGUGUGUGGAUCAUUAAUUAUUUGAUUGCUGGGACAUUUUCUCAUUAUGAAAUCUCUAGGUGUUAUGGUUUGACGCAGGGACCCUUCUUCAUAUAAACAUUGUGCUUGUAACAUGAUGUAAUAUAAAGAGACAGAGUGUCUUUGUUUCUCUUUAUGCUUUGUAUAACAAGUGUGUAACAGUCUUCUUUUACUCCGUUGAGAGGUGAGGAUCAUUCUUUUUCUUUUA